CCAGCGCCGACAGUGCAUUUUCGAUUGUGUUGCCGAGCGGACGCUUUUCCUUUCGCGUGGGCGGAGUGCUAAUAAAGCUGAAAUAAAGCUUGGAAAAGAGUGAAAUAUUUAAAUUUCAAAGCGAAAAGCUCUCCGCCCACAGCUUAGGCAAAAGCGAUCAAGCCAAACAACAUUGCACUCCAACAAAAUUAAACCAAAUAAUGCUUCGUCAGGUAAUGAGUUGCAUUUUAAAAUGGUUUCGGUUCAUCAAAAAAACUCACUCAUCACCACAUAUAAAACCACCAACACACCAUCAUUAUCAUCAUCAUCGGCAACAACAAAAUUCACCAAACACAAAAAACAUGCAAUGUUUUCAUUUGCCGCUGCUCUAAAAGUUUAUUUUAUUAAUGCCAACAAAAUUAUGUGAUUACCAAAAUUAAUAAAACUGAUAACUACGUGUAA